AUUGGAUUGAGAACAACGUACAAACCUUAUCGAUAAACAAUUGGAGGGCAAGUCUGGUGCCAGCAGCCGCGGUAAUUCCAGCUCCAAUAGCGUAUAUUAACGUUGUUGCAGUUAAAAAGCUCGUAGUUGAAAUGAAGGGUAGUUGUGUAAUGAAUACAUUCGUGUAUUUUGUUAUUCUACUACCCUCCUUCUAAAUUCGAUAUAUGAGUAUUAAUUUACUUGUAUAUGGUUUUAGACCUUUACUGUGAGAAAAUUAGAGUGUUCAAAGCAGGCAUUUGCUUGAAUAUAUUAGCAUGGAAUAAUCAUGUAUGAUUUUCAUGAUGUAUUUGAUUGGUUUGGUUCAUGAGAAUAAGAUUAAAAGGGACAGUUGGGGGUAUUCAUAUUCAAUAGUCAGAGGUGAAAUUCUCGGAUUUAUGGAAGAUGAACAAGUGCGAAAGCAUUUACCAAGGAUGUUUUCAUUAAUCAAGAACGAAAGUUAGGGGAUCGAAGAGGAUUAGAUACCCUCG
rnacentral:rRNA from 1 species